rnacentral:sRNA from 1 species
AGGUUUCCGUAGGUGAACCUGCGGAAGGAUCAUUGUCGAUAUCCAUAAGGAAGAAACGAGAACUUGUGAUGAUGCCUCUUGGGAACGAAGGCGGCGACAAAAAGUUCGUGGCGUUCUUGCUCUCAAUGGCACCCCUUGCUGCCCCUGCCUCGUGUUUCCGCGGGAACGGUGGUGGGAACAAGAACCCCGGCGCGGUAUGCGCCAAGUAGCAUUCUACUUGGGGAGCAUUACGUGCUUUGAUGCCUGGCAUCGUGGCAUUUGAUGUGAUCCAUGCUAGCGAGAGAAGAUGCACGACUCUCGGCAACGGAUAUCUUGGCUCUUGCAUCGAUGAAGAACGUAGCAAAAUGCGAUACUUGGUGUGAAUUGCAGAAUCCUGUGAAUCAUCGAGUUUUUGAACGCAAGUAGCGCCCGAGACCACCUGGUUGAGGGCAUGGCUGCCUGGGCGUCACACUUAACGUAGCUUCUUGCACCUAAUCAUUGCGCUUGCUGUGCAUUAUUUUGGGCAUGAAUGUGUAGAAUGGCUCCGUGUGCUUUACGGCAUUUUGGGCUGAAGAAUUUGGGCUUUCCCGCUAGUUUUGUAUACACGGUGAGUGGUGGAUGGACUCCGCAUGUGAUGCCUUCCUUUUCGUGGACUAUAGUAACAAAGAUGAUUAAGCAAAAGAGAAUAACCAAAGCAGAUUUAGCACGCUUGAUCGCGUCGUCAAACCAUGACCCCAGGUCAGGCGGGAACACCUGCUGAGC